rnacentral:rRNA from 1 species
UACGAAGGGGGCGAGCGUUGCUCGGAAUUACUGGGCGUAAAGGGCUCGUAGGCGGCCAACUAAGUCGGAUGUGAAAUCCCCAAGCUUAACUUGGGAACUGCAUCCGAUACUGGAUGGCUUGAAUCCGGGAGAGGGAUGCAGAAUUCCAGGUGUAGCGGUGAAAUGCGUAGAUAUCUGGAGGAAUACCGGUGGCGAAGGCGGCAUCCUGGACCGGCAUUGACGCUGAGGAGCGAGAGCUAGGGGAGCAAACGGG